GGUGAACGCUGGCGGCGUGCUUAAGACAUGCAAGUCGAACGGCAGUCUUCGGACUGUAGUGGCGCACGGGUGAGUAACGCGUAACUGACCUACCCCAAAGUCGCGGAUAACGAUUCGAAAGAAUCGCUAAUACGUGAUGUGCUGUCAGAUUGUGUUCUGCCAGUAAAGAUUGAUUGCUUUGGGAUGGGGUUGCGUUCCAUCAGCUAGUUGGUGGGGUAAAGGCCCACCAAGGCGACGACGGAUAGCCGGCCUGAGAGGGUGGCCGGCCACAGGGGCACUGAGACACGGGUCCCACUCCUACGGGAGGCAGCAGUUAGGAAUCUUCCACAAUGGGCGAAAGCCUGAUGGAGCGAUGCCGCGUGAGGGAUGAAGGUCUUCGGAUCGUAAACCUCUGAAUCAGGGUCGAAAGACACUUCGGUGGGAUGACGGUACCUGAGUAAUAGCACCGGCUAACUCCGUGCCAGCCGCCGCCGUAAAAC
rnacentral:rRNA from 1 species